GUAGUAAUUGGAGAGAGAACGCGUUGGAGUUUCAGAGCGGGUUGCGCGUAAGUGAUCUCUUUGGUCGCCACACCGGUUCGAUUCCGGUCCUAGCCUCCA
rnacentral:tRNA from 1 species